rnacentral:lncRNA from 1 species
AAACUCCAGACCAGAAUUCAUCUAUAAACACAGUUUGUUAAUACAACUUCUCUUCUGAAAUCACUUUUAGGAUCUUGAAAUUUCAAUCUGAAUGAGACUUCAGUGCACUUAAGUUACUUACUAUUAGAUUAGUUUUAUGAAGAGAAUUCAAUAAAUGCUCUAUAGCAAGCGUGCAUACAGCAGGCUAACUGCAUACACAUGGUUAUUGUCAACUUUUAACACUUUUAUCAUGGGACUGAUGAGAAGCAUAAAAGCUGACUGGCAAUAGCUAAGUUUCCUGCACUGCCAUAAAUGUGCUAAGUGCUAAGGCCCUGCCAGCGUCCUGCUGCUUUAAAAGGCCACCGGACCAGUUUCUGAAGACAAUGAUUUCUUAUUUCUUAUGGGAUCAAAAGGAUUGAUAACCUUGCUUAGCCUUGCUCCAAGCUUUGUGAUUUACCUUAAUAAAAUACCAUUUUGCCUUGGGCUUUCUGCUGACUGUGCUGUAAGACUUGUACCCAAAAAUGUGUUUGUCAGUAUGUGUCACAUCACUUUUUAUCUAGUUUGGUAUAGCUGCCUAUUUAUGUAACCUUCUGUAGCAUCAAAUGCUUAUCAACACAGGAAUUCUGGGGAAUGUUCUGUCACAGAGAUAUCAGUACAAGAAUCGUGUAUUCCUCAUUGCGUUUCUGUAGUGAUGCAACACACCUGUGUCAGGUUAUAUCAUGCAGCUGUAAGUGUUAGGAAUCAUGUAAUGAGAGUGUUUAAAAACACAGUGCAGCCUGAAAGGAGAGACAAAAUCAGAAUCACGGUAUGGAUCCUGAGGACAGAAGUUACAGUGACAAGUCCUGAAAUAAGCCUUCUAUUUUUUCACGACACUGGUUUGGUUCCCUCGCUGCUCAAGUAGACUUAAGGAUUCUGUAAGUAAAAAUUUUCCAUUUUGUUGUUUUUAACCUCUGAUUUAUGUUAAUAAAGUAUUGC